AAUUCUCUUCAUGCAGGUUUGAAUAAGGGUGUUGAUGGCACUGCUUUUCUAUUCGCGGUUUGAAAACUUUUGUCACGUGAUGAUCGCAGGUCAGUAGACUAUAUGGUCUUUGUUAGGCGACAGUGCAAAAUGUUAAUAAAUGACCUGUUGUCACUUGUCAGAAUGGAAACCUUGGCAAUACAGCUAAGCAUCAGUUUCGGUUUCCUGACUUUUGCGAAUCGCAGAAGGGCUAUAUAUGGCCAGGGAGUGAGUACGUGUUGGCUGUGUAGCCUAUUCCGCGUACCCGGACAAUACAAAAAACAACUCGCUGUAUUCAACAAGAUGAGUGCCUCGGUCAAAGCAGAUAUGGAAGUCAAGCUGAAAGCACUUGAGUGUCACUUCACAUGGGGCAUAAGGAAAGGUGACAUUAAGGACCUGGACAGCAUCCCUGAAAAACUCCUGGAUCGCAUCAUGAAGUUCUGCCCUUUAAAAUACCAUGUCACGUAUUUCAACUUACUAGCGUUCCUGAGCCACCUGAAGGAAAAUAAUGUUAGUGCUCUUGAUUAUCUCCACAAGGCUGAGAGUGCAUUGAAGGACAGACAGGGUGAUACAGAGUUACUGGUGACCUAUGCUAACUAUGCAUGGGUUCACUAUCACUCAGGGAACAUGGAUGAUGUGGAAGCCUACCUUGAGAAGCUGGAAAACAUCAAUAAGGGUAUUCCAAGGGCCUCAAAGAUUCAAGGCAGCUUACCUUCAGUACAUGGUGAGAAAGGUUGGAGCCUUAUCAGGCUUGGGGCAUUAUUUUAUAAAAAGGUAAAAGAGAGCUUUCAGAAAGCUCUACAGGGGGAGCCAAACAAUGCUUCUUUCAAUGUUGGCGUAUGCCAUGGUCCUGUACAGGUUGGAGGGCAUGGUUAGGGAUAACAAAGUGAGGUCAGAGGAAAGUGAAGCUACCACUCAGCUAAGGAAAGCCUUGUCAUUGGAGCCCAAUAACUCGGAGGUUAUGGUCCUCCUAGCCCUGAAGCUUCAGAACAAAAAUAAACAAGAGUCCAUGAAACUCAUCACAGAAGCCCUCAGACUGUCUCCUGAUGUGCCUCACGUCAUGCGUUACGUGGGAAAGUUUUUCAGAUACGAGGGCUCCGUCAAUGAGUCCCUACACAUUUUGGGGAAAGCUCUGGAGCUGUCUCCAAACUCCCACUUCCUCCAUCACCAAAUUGGCCUGUGUCACAAACAACAGCUCAGUCAGAUGUUCGAGCAGAAGAGGAAAGGGGGACGAGUCAAUGGGGGCCAGAUAAAAGCAAAGGUGGAGGUCUGCAUCCGUCACUUCUCCAGAGCCGUGGAGCUGAAGCCCUCCAACAUUCAUGCCAGGGUGAACCUGGCUGAGGCCUACGGGAACAACUACCAGCUGGAAGAGGCGUUGAAGAUCUUCAUCAACCUGGUGAAAGAUGAAUCCCUCAAUGACUCUGACAAGCAGCAUUGCUACACCAGCUUCGGCCUGUUUCUGUUCCACAAGAAGAAAGAUGAGGGCAGGGCUGCGACACAAUUCAAAAAUGCCUACCAGAUUCAGAUUGAGAGUUGGGACAGGAAGGAGGCUGGGAAGAAGCUUAAGCAGAUAGCAGAGAGGUGCCAGACUAACAAGAGGAGAGUUGGCGAGGCCUCUGAGAUUUUGGCGUUCCUCGCCACUGUAGACAAAGAGGAGAGAAAGGCUGAAGAGCCAAGGGGAGUCAAUGUGGACUCUACAGACACAGAUGACCUUACAGAAGCCCUAGGCAAGGGAAUGAAACUCAAAUGAUAUAUUUUAUUGUAACACAACGCAUGGCUUACAUAAGAAUACUUCUACGUGCAUUUUAAUGGUUUUAAUCGGGGAGUAACAUUUACUUCAAGUUGCAUGUAUGCUUCUUAAGUUUGAUUUUGUGUUUAAAAAAAAUGCAAAGAAAAUUUGAGUAAGAUUCUAUUACUUUUGUAAGAUUUUUUAAAAAUGUCUUUGGAUGUGUCCCCUAUAGUGUAGAUGAUUAGAUAUCUUCAUUGACUGUUAAACUGUUGCUUAAACUGACAGUAACAUUCUGAAGAGGUAAUAAAACACAGUACCAAAG